CUAGUGUAGCUUAAUCAAAGCUUAACACUGGAGA
rnacentral:tRNA from 1 species